GAAAGAGGCCAGAAGCACUAGAGACUGCUAAUCUUUACCCCCAUGGUUAAACUCCAUGGCUCAUUCG
rnacentral:tRNA from 1 species